UACGUAGGGACCGAGCGUUGUCCGGAUUCAUUGGGCGUAAAGAGCUCGUAGGCGGCUGCUCAAGUCGAAUGUGAAAACCCGGGGCUCAACCCCGGGCCUGCAUUCGAUACGGGCAGACUAGAGUUCGGUAGGGGGAGUCUGGAAUUCCUGGUGUAGCGGUGAAAUGCGCAGAUAUCAGGAGGAACACCGGUGGCGAAGGCGGGACUCUGGGCCGAUACUGACGUGGAGGAGCGAAAGCGUGGGGAGCGAA
rnacentral:rRNA from 1 species